rnacentral:rRNA from 1 species
CUUGCUCUCGGGUGACGAGCGGCGGAGUAAUGAGUAAUGUCUGGGAAACUGCCUGAUGGAGGGGGAUAACUACUGGAAACGGUAGCUAAUACCGCAUAAUGUCGCAAGACCAAAGUGGGGGACCUUCGGGCCUCAGGCCAUCAUAUGUGCUCAGAUUGAAUCUUCUAGU